UCGCCGAUUGUCGGAACAUUUUGAUGCGUUUCAUACGCGAGGAAUAUCGAUAGAACGUACGUAGCACGCGCGUGGAUCGCUCGGCAACUCGUAACGAUGCCCGCCACAUAGAAUUAUUCGGAAUCUUACGAUAAUUGCGCGAAUCCGCCGUUCGGUUAAUUUAACCUAAUUGUAAGCGAAUUCCACUCGUCGCCGUUGCCGCGCCGCUCGCCGCCAACUUCAGGGCGCUCACGCUCCGCCACCGGCCACCCCGCCAUGAUGCUCAGGUGCACAUUUAAUCGAAGGAUACGCACUUGCAACACGCCUUCUACAGUGCCGGACUUGCGCAGUUUCGGAGGACUCGGAUCGAACAGGAUCGACUCGCAGAUACGUUUAGAAAUGUCAUUGCGUAUCUAUUUGUGAGCGAAAAUUAAUGCGUCUAUUGAGUGAAUCAAAUUUUGAGGGUUAAGAUUUCAAAGAGAUUGUUAAUAUUUUGCAUACAUUUGAAAGGAAUUAAUGUAUUUUUAUUACCUGAAUCUAAUCGAAAUGAUUUCUGUUUCAAACGCAAAUUCCGAUCCUGAGUUGCUGUGCAGUUUUAGUGAGUGAUAAAUAAAAACAAAAUUUAAGGUGGUGGGCGCUUUGAUAUUAAAAUCAGUGCGAUUUGUUUAGUUCUUGUGGUAGUAGAUGCUUCCAUAUGUAGAUUUGUGCAUACAUAAUAAUCGCUGAAUGAGCAAUGGCAUA